rnacentral:misc_RNA from 1 species
GAUGAAGACGCAGCAAAAUGCGAUAAGUAAUGUGAAUUGCAGAAUUCAGUGAAUCAUCGAAUCUUUGAACGCACAUUGCGCCCGCCAGUAUUCUGGCGGGCAUGCCUGUUCGAGCGUCAUUUCAACCAUCAAGCCCCAGGCUUGUGUUGGGGACCUGCGGCUGCCGCAGGCCCUGAAAACCAGUGGCGGGCUCGCUAGUCACACCGAGCGUAGUAGCAUACACAUCGCUCAGGGCGUGCUGCGGGUUCCGGCCGUUAAACCCCUUUUUUACCCAAGGUUGACCUCGGAUCAGGUAGGAAGACCCGCUGAACUUAAGCAUAUCAAUAAGCGGAGGA